rnacentral:lncRNA from 1 species
ACUCCUGCCUGGAUACCAGCUCCCCGCUACCCUGCGCACGGCGGGCUGGCUUCGGGCCCGGGGAAGCGGAGCAGCACUCAGCGCCUUUACUCUCUCCUGUCUGACGACAGUCGUUCGGUGUGGCACUGUUGGUGGUGAGGCGAGGGAGGAAGUCGAGGAGAAAACUGCACAGGAUCAGCGGAGAUCUUCCCAUAGGCCCACAGUAGGGCUGUUUACCCCCUGAAAGCACGAGAAAGUGGGAGACGGGCCCGGAACCCUGGAGGUUGGUGCGAAGGUGGGCAGCGCCUGGGUAUAACAAGAGAGGGUCUGCCUGCAGGUCUGAAAGGUUUGAGAUCACUGGACACAAAGAAACAAGGAGGAAAUUAUUCCCAAAUGAUAUAGACUGGGUAUAUCUCCAAUCAAGAGAAGGAAAGAGGAGGGAACUACCUUGACCAUUGCAGCAUUCCCUGAUAAAAGCCCUUCAUGCUGAACACUGUCUCUGAGUCUUCUCUCCAGGAAGCCAACCUACAACAGUUGGUACAAGAAGAGGUUCAGAAAAGCAUAUACAGGGAUGAAAUUUUGGAGAUGGAUAACCUGAUGCUUAGUGGCAGUGAGGACCCCAUCAUUCGUGGUAGGUGGAGUAGAUAGAUACCUGGAACAGGUGGCAGAGAAGUUGUUAGAGCUUUCACUGGUGGUGAACUGGAAUGGUACUGGUGGAAGGGAAUGCAUUUACUGAUGCCAUGAGGUGGAACUUGGAGAAAUAGGUGAGGAAUAUUAAAUAUAAGAAAGGCCAGAAAACUGGGUGGCUGUUUCUCAGCUUGACUGACCUCUAGGAAAAAAUAAUGAAAAGCUGAAUUAAAUUAAUCAGUAAUUUAAGCUAUGUGUGAAAGCCAGGGGGUUUCAUUCACAGCAUAUAAAGAGGCCCUCAUAUUUUCCAGGUGGAGAAAUUGAGGACCAGGUCCAGGACUUACUGAAAUAAGCUUCAAAGAAAGUUAAAAAUCCCAAUCAAGGCAAGUCUGUUCUGCCAAGAUCAGGGCCCUUGUUCCGAAGGAAGUUGACCUUGACACAUGAAAUGGGGACAUCUGGAUUUAUGUCCCUAAAAGUCUUAUCUAUUAAGAGUUCCCUGAGUCCCUUGAGCAUUCAAAAAUGCCCCACUCCUUCCUACUAAGGGUUAGUGCCUCACCUCACUUGGACACACAGAGCUCUUUCCCCUAAGAGAUAACAUGUUUCUUGAUCAAUCUGUCCCCACCUACCAUCCUAGCCACUGGGACCAUAUCUAUGAUUAAGCCACAGCAUAACUUCAUUGGCAUUGUGCUGAACCUAAUAAGAAAGGAAAAGGAAUACCCCAAGAAUGAGCUGCAGGGCCUUUCCAGCAUGUUCUAACAGGUGCUGAGGGGGUAAGCAUGGGACGGAAUUCUGAGUGCCUUCCUCAGGGGCACUAGAAUAUGACACUGAAUAAGGGAGAAUUAAUUGAUUUGAGAGUCUUCUCCCAAGAUACAGGAUUUAACACCCUGGAAAAGACCCCAGGAGAUCAUGUGAACUCACUACUAGAAUGGCUCCUCAAAGAAUGGAAAAAAAGACAAUGGCCCACAUUAAGUGAGGUAUGUGCACCAGAGUUGCCACAGCAGAUGGUGGGAGAAGGGAUUAAAAGCUCAGGAAAGUGGGAAUGAUAGAAUAACUAUAUUAUAAGGCCAGAAAACCUUCCAGAGGACUAUGUUCUUCAGGAGGACCUAAAGGGCACUCCAUUUGUUAAAGCUAUAAGAAUGCACUGGUUAAAGGAGGUACUAGCAUCACUAAUAAAUUCAGUGGUAGCCUGCCUCUGCAGACCAGUGCUCAGAGUAGAAGGGAACAUUACAGGACAAGGAUUGCUGACAGAAAUGAUCAUGCCACUGAAGUAAUAGAGUCAGUAUAACUGUAUUCAACUGUCAGAAGUCAGGUGAAUGCAAAUAUCAUAAUGCACCACACGGUAAGAGUAAUAUACAGGGAGAUCUGAUCUGCAGAGAGCUUUGGAGAGAGUUAGAACACAGUGCUCCUGGUGGAUAGAUGGUUAAGAGGUAAUAGAAUUGGGUGGUCAAUAUAACACUUGGCCCCAGGGAAAACAGGCAUCUGACAAUUCAUAUGAUAAUAAAUAAAAAAUCGGAGCUGCCCAGGAGUCUGAGGGAAGAUGCCUCAAUAAAAAGUCACACUCUCUUGCUCAGCUCUGGCCUUAAGUCAGUUUUUGAGGCAAGGCACACUAUUUGAAGUAGUGGGGCACCCGGGAAGCAGGACCUUACAAUAUGUGCAUAGUAACAAUUCCUCCAGUCCUUCCAUUUACUAAGGUAACUGUGUACUGGGGAGAGGGGAAUACCCAAACAUUUUGAGGAUUGAUGGACCCUGGUUGUGAGUUGAUAUUGAUACUCAGAGAUUUAAAUUGUAUUCAUCCCUGCCUUGUUAGAAUAGGAGCAGAUGGGAGCUUGGAAUUAAAUGGGCUCCUAGUCUAUGUUGGCUUUACACUGGGUAGACUCCACUGGGUCCAUAGAUCCAUCCAAUGGUUAUUUUCAUGGUUUCUGAAUGUAUAAUUGGAAUAGACAUAAUGAUAGUUGGUACAAGUCUCAUAUUGGUUCCUUGGCAUAUGAAGUCAGAGCUAUUUUAGAUGAGGUCAAGUGGAAAAGUUAUAAUUGUCUUCCCCUUCCUUAGCAAAGAAAGUAAAUGAAAACAUAUAGAUAGCAUCUGGAGAGGAUGGUAGAAGUUAGUGCCACAUUUAAAGACCUAAAGAAUUCUGUGAUGUCAGGAGUUCCCAUUGUGGCUCAGCAGGAACUAAUAUCCAUAAGGAUGCGGGUUUGAUCCCUGGCCUCGCUCAGUGCGUUAAGGCUCUAGUGUUGCUGUGAGCUGUGAUGUAGUUCGCAGACAUGGCUUGGAUCCUGCGUCGUUGUGGUUGUGGCUGUGGCGGGCGGCUGU